rnacentral:rRNA from 1 species
GAUGAACGCUGGCGGCGUGCCUAAUACAUGCAAGUCGAGCGAACAGAUGAGGAGCUUGCUCCUCUGACGUUAGCGGCGGACGGGUGAGUAACACGUGGAUAACCUACUUAUAAUACUGGGAUAACUUCGGGAAACCGGAGCUAAUACUGGAUAAUAUAUUGAACCGCAUGGUUCAAUAGUGAAAGACGGUUUGGCUGUCUCUUAUAGAUGGAUCCGCGCCGCAUUAGCUAGUUGGUAAGGUAACGGCUUACCAAGGCAACGAUGCGUAGCCGACCUGAGAGGAUGAUCGGCCACACUGGAACUGAGACACGGUCCAGACUCCUACGGGAGGCAGCAGUAGGGAAUCUUCCGCAAUGGGCGAAAGCCUGACGGAGCCACACCGCGUGAGUGAUGAAGGUCUUCGGAUCGUAAAACCCUGUUAUUAGGAAAGAACAGAUGUAGAAGAAACUAUGCACGUUUUGACGGUACCUAAACAAAAAGCAACGGCUAACUACGUG